UAGUAAAAAGAAUCUGUUUUGGGGGUGGGGAGAUGAGGGUGAGAAUAUGAAAGUGGAUUUUUUAGAGUAUUUACAAAUUACACUACUAUCUUCUCUUAUAGUUCCUUGUUCAGUUUCAUUAUCAAAGCACAAUAAAGAAUCUGAACUUGUCUCUGUAUGGUAUUCAGUAGGAACUUUAGGGAUUUUAUCUGUAGUGCAUGAAAUGAGGCUUUUAGUUAAUCAUUGGUGUUUAACUUCAAGGUGCAAGUCCUAUGCAAUUCUUUCACCAUGGUCCAUUAUCAUGAUCUAACAUACUAUGCAUGGAAAAUACCACUUAGGAGCUUGCAUUGCUGCACAUGAUGUUCUUUGAUUUCCUUACUUCCUAAUACACUCAAGAUGUCUGCCACUCUGCCUCCACUAAUCAUUAAUCGUUUUAUAUGAUUUAGGAAUCCGCGGAGUCUGAGCAGAAAGUGAUCGUUGCUGUAAAACAAGGGAACAUGCUACCUUUGUAUCAGUCUAUCAUAUGAAGAAAGUGGUCAUCAAUCUUACCGGAGAGUGGAAAUGAAUUUUCAUCUUAAAGAAAACGGGAAAUUUGUUGCAUGAUAGCGCAUCACGUUGAGUGGAAUACAAUGUUGCGUUAUAUUUUUCAUAUAACGCAUACUUUUUAGUUAUAAAUGAUACUAUUAUUUGACAAGCAUUAUUUCCAAUUAAUUUUUUUAAUAUGUAGAAUUGAUUUUUCUUUUAAUAUGUGAACUUCGUUGAAUAUUGUUAAACUUUAAUUAGUAGUUG